rnacentral:lncRNA from 1 species
UCGGGUCUGUCCAAUGAACGAAGAAAAAGUUGGACGACUUUACCCCUGGGGGGUAUUUGGGUUGUGUGCUUAAUGUAAGGGAAUUUUGGAGAUUUGCCAAAUGCCUAUAUAUGUAUAGGAGGGCUGUUUGGGGCAGCCAUCCCUUGGGCUAGUUGGUGGCAGGCUACUCAUUUAUUUUGUAAGAGUCUUUGGUAGAGGGAGAGAGGGAGAAAAGAGUGGAUCUUUGUGUUGAUCUUUUUGCCAUCCAAGCUUUGUCUGUGCUCAGGAUUGGCUUGUAACCAGACAUGGUGGAGUAAUCCAAGAAUCAAUUUCGUGCUCAAUUGCUUCUCCUUCUCAAGAUCUGAAAUUUAUUUUUUUUCCCCAUUUUCGUAGCAUUUUUGGGUGCAUUUUUGGAUCUCACGAUUGACAGCGUUUUGAGGUAUUUUUCUUGGGACAAAUCGGUGCUAGGACAUGUGCAAGAACACCUAGGAUGAUUCCCUAGCAAAUCCAUGCACGAGCACCUUGGAUUUUGAGAUUUCCCGAAAAUCCCCUUCUUGUGCCCUUCUCCAAAUUCAUGGAAUAUUGUGAUAAAUUCAUGAGCUUUUUGACUUGAAACUUUGGGAACACCUUUGGAAUGUUGUUG